rnacentral:tRNA from 1 species
GAAGUAAAAGUAAGGGAAGAGCUGCUAACUCUGUCUCUAAGCGGUUGAACUCCGUUUGUAUUUCU